UCCAUAAUAUCGCUCAAUUACAUUUUUUGUAAGCGGGGGAACCAAUUUUUGUACAUGUUUGUACAUUUGGGGUGAAACCUUUUAUAGGUGGGGAGACUCUUUAUUCCCUAAUCCGUCAGCUAACCUCGUAAGCGUCUAGAGAGAGUCAUG
rnacentral:sRNA from 2 species